rnacentral:rRNA from 1 species
UAAGAAACUGAUCGGGCUCGGCCCGAUCCUCCCACCCUUUGUGUACCUACCUCUGUUGCUUUGGCGGGCCGCGGUCCUCCGCGGCCGCCCCCCUCCCCGGGGGGGUGGCCAGCGCCCGCCAGAGGACCAUCAAACUCCAGUCAGUAAACGAUGCAGUCUGAAAAACAUUUAAUAAACUAAAACUUUCAACAACGGAUCUCUUGGUUCUGGCAUCGAUGAAGAACGCAGCGAAAUGCGAUAAGUAAUGUGAAUUGCAGAAUUCAGUGAAUCAUCGAAUCUUUGAACGCACAUUGCGCCCUUUGGUAUUCCGAAGGGCAUGCCUGUUCGAGCGUCAUUACAACCCUCAAGCUCUGCUUGGUAUUGGGCACCGUCCUUUGCGGGCGCGCCUCAAAGACCUCGGCGGUGGCGUCUUGCCUCAAGCGUAGUAGAACAUACAUCUCGCUUCGGAGCGCAGGGCGUCGCCCGCCGGACGAACCUUCUGAACUUUUCUCAAGGUUGACCUCGGAUCAGGUAGGGAUACCCGCUGAACUUAAGCAUAUCAAA